rnacentral:lncRNA from 1 species
CUUUUCUCUACUGAUACAUUUAUUAUAGACAUGAUAAUUUAGAUGAGAACGGGAGUCUGGUACAUGCAUUCUUGGGCUCAUUCCUCUUUGCUCAGGUGUGUGUAUCUCUGCCACUUCCUCGCUUCCCAGCUCAGGCAGGACAAGAAAAUUUCCUCUGGCAGCAGAGCAGAGCCCGCACGGAGGGGAGGAGCUGUCCAAGUGCUGGAGAGCACCCGGGAGCUGAGGGUUGACAGAGGUGGGCAGUCGGAGGUAGGUGGAUGCCCACUGUGCCUGUGACCACCAGUAAGUGUUGGCUACAUCCCAGUGCCGUGCAGGAAGCAAUCACAUCCGGGCCAUCGGUGAUGCUCUGUAAAGGACGGGAAAAGUGUUUAGAAGAAGCAGAGUCCUGGGAUUUAAAAGACACAGCAAGACCAAGGAGGCCUCCAACGAAACUCUGCCGAGGAAUAAAGCAC